rnacentral:tRNA from 1 species
UCCGGUGUGGCGCAAUGGUAGCGCGGAUGCCUGUAAACACAAAAACUUGCAGCUUUCUUGAGUAAUCAAGAUCGAAAAACGAGGUGAAUUGCGGGAAACCUAAGGACAUAAUCGUUAGCAUUAAGUUGAGGGUGAUGAGAUAGUCCACUCUUAUUAGAAAUAAUAAGGAUACGUGUAAGCAUUAGGUUGUAGGUUCGAAUCCUACCACCGGAG